GAUGGACAGGGAGGCUUGACGUGCUGUAGUCCAUGGGGUCGUAGAGUCAGACAUGACUGAGCAACUGAACUGAGAAUGAGAGUGAAGCAAAUGUGACCCACUUGUUGGGAAAAUUUUGCCAUAAAGCAAGGACAGAAAUGGUACAGCAGUAGUUGGAGAGAGAGAGAGGUGGGGUCAAGGAAGCACAUUUUAAAAACUGAUGGGAAAUAGAAGAGCAUUUUCAAUAAGCUACCGAGACUGUCUAAUAGAGGGAGACUGACGCAGAAGAGAGAUAAGACUACCAAAGGAGCAGAAUUCUUUCUCUUCUCUUCUCUCCCUCCUUCCUUCGCUGCACUUUCGGGAUCUUAGUUCCCCAACUAGGAAUUGCCUCUGGGCCAAGGUAGUGAAAGCAGCAUGGCCUAACCACUGGAUCACUAGGGAAUUCCUGCCAAAGGAACAACAUUCUUCAGUAGGAGAAGAGUCAGAAUACAAGAGGGUUUGUCUUUGGUGGGAGCAGGAUGACUUGCAGUGUAGCAGGAGAGAAGGCAGAGAGGUUUAGGAAUUGGAGGUGGAAUACAGGGCUUUCUGUUUCACGGUUUCUGUUCUCUCAGCGGAGUCUGAGGCAGGGCCAGCAUCUUAAAGGAGGAAGGGGUGUGGAUGGUGUGAGAGAAGGAGGACACCUCGCUUUGGACAGCAGGACAGUGAACUCAUUGUGAUACUCGAUUGGGUGGCUGGGCGUUGCUGAAUGCCUGGGUGCACAUUGCGGGGCGGGGGUCUGCAUUUAAGGUGAAACCAAUCAGUCCAGUUAGUUGUGUGGUUUUCUGCCACCAGCUAACCACCACUGUUUAUUACAAGCGAAGUAAAAGCAGCCAGGUGAUCAGUUCAACCAAGAUUGGCAUUUUUGCCCCCAGAUGUGAUAGGAAGAGAGAUGCCAGGGAUUCGAGGGUGGUUGCAAGGGGGUAACAGUGAUGAACCAAGAUAAUGGGAGUGGGGGCCAAGAAUUUAACCAUGAAAAUAACUUUUGGUUAGUAAAAAGUGACGUAAUGGUAGAGAAUUUCAGCUGGGGAUAAUGAAAAGUUCUGGAGCUGGAUCGUGACUAUAGGUUUUAUUGGUUUGGCCCAAAAGUUCGUUUGGUUUUAAGUAAAAAAAAAACGUGUUUUUCAUUUUCACUGAGAACUAUUGAACAACAUAUUCAGAAUGAACUUUUUCGCCAACCGAAUAUAAUAGUGUGUGUGUACCUAGAGCCAAUGAAGUGUACACGUAAGUGGUAAAUCUUGUGUGUUUUACCACAAUUAAAUGAAUUUAAGAGUUCCCUGGUGGUCCACUGGUUAGGACUCUGUGCUCUCAAUGCUGAGGACCCAGGUUCUAUGGAAGAAAGACUUAGAAAUCAUAUCUCAAAUUAUUGAGAGUUAAGAGACAGUAACUCCUCCUAUCAUGGUCCCAAACUUGAGUAGGCGAAACAAUCAUCUAUAGACAGAGCUUCUGGAGUAGGACUGAGAAAUCUUACGUUUCCCCGUUCACCGACUUUCUCUAAGCCUUUAGCAGAGCAUUUAAAGCAAGCUGGGCACUCAGUAAACAUUUGCUGGCUAACUACUUAGACAACCAGGUAGAACAGAAUGAUGGGAACUAAAUAAAAACUUUUUUUAGAGAUAGAAAUCAGCAAGGACUUGUAGUACAUUCUGAUGGCUGUGGGUGAGAGGAAAGUCAGGUUAAAGGGAGAGGGAGAGAAAUAAGGGAAGGUCAUUUUUUAGAAAUUCAGAUAAUACCAAGUGGAACUUUGUAGCACUCUCCUUAACCUCAUUUUUUUCUGUUCUUUCCUCACACUGCUGUUACUCGCUUUUUCAUAAGGUUCCUCUGUUCCCCAAAUUGCCUACAGAAAAAGUAACUGUAAAAUAAGAGGAGAGCAGGGUGGAUGAUAGGAUUCAGAAUAGAGGUCUUUCCUGAGAAGAUCGCAAGGUCAUUUGUCAGGGGCAGAGGCAAAAGGUUUUGAGUUUGAAGGGAAGAAAUUUGCGAAAUGUGUGAGAUGUGGGGGAAGAUGGAGGAAAGGAGUGGUACUUGGUUGCAGGGAGGCAACAUGGAUUAAACAAUACACCAAAUCCACCUGCAUCGCAUGGUUCUCUCGUGACAGUAGUGUUCUAGAGUAAAAGUGAAAAAUACAGUGGGGGAGGGGGUGGUUAAAUGAAGGUGAAGUGGGAAUGUAGACAGAGAAGAAAGGAGGUGUUGCCUUUAAAGGAAAGCCCUAAAAGGGAACCUGAAUGGAAUGGAAAUGGGCCCGGAAGGCCGCUCUGCUGCGGCGGUUGUACAUGCGUGGUGUAGCUCAGGAGGCCUCAGAACUGGCAGCGAAAAUGGGAUGGGGACGUGGAAGAAAGAGGUCUUGGGGAGAGGCAGCUAGGGGCCUGAUCUUACCUCGUGUGUGCUUCCAUUCAGGAAGAAACCUGAAACCUCACUGCACUGGAUGUUUAACCCAGAUUCCCCUUCCCUGUACUCCUAAUCAACUCUGAUUUAUGUCGUUGUGUUUAAUUAUACAUCUCUUUUUAAUAAAGUUGAAAAAUUGAA